rnacentral:rRNA from 1 species
ACGGAAGGCAGCAGUGAGGAAUAUUGGUCAAUGGACGCAAGUCUGAACCAGCCAUGCCGCGUGCAGGAAUAAGGCCCUAUGGGUCGUAAACUGCUUUUGUGGUGGAGCAAUAAGUCGUACGUGUACGGCGAUGAGAAUACAUCACGAAUAAGCAUCGGCUAACUCCGUGCCAGCAGCCGCGGUAAUACGGAGGAUGCAAGCGUUAUCCGGAUUUAUUGGGUUUAAAGGGUGCGUAGGCUGUGGUCCAAGUCAGGGGUGAAAGCCCGGAGCUCAACUCCGGAACUGCCUUUGAUACUGGAUUGCUGGAAUACGGAUGCCGUGGGAGGAAUGAGUAGUGUAGCGGUGAAAUGCAUAGAUAUUACUCAGAACACCGAUUGCGAAGGCAUCUCACGAAUCCGUCAUUGACGCUGAGGCACGAAAGCGUGGGGAUCAAACAGGAUUAGAUACCCUGGUA